CUACGGGGCGCUGCAGUGAGGAAUAUUGCACAAUGGAGGAAACUCUGAUGCAGCAACGCCGCGUGGAGGAUGACGCAUUUCGGUGUGUAAACUCCUUUUAUAUGUCAAGAAAAUGACGGUAGCAUAUGAAUAAGCACCGGCUAACUCCGUGCCAGCAGCCGCGGUAAUACGGAGGGUGCAAGCGUUACUCGGAAUCACUGGGCGUAAAAGACGCGUAGGCGGGAUAUCAAGUCAGGUGUGAAAUCCUACAGCUUAACUGUAGAACUGCACUUGAAACUGGUAACCUAGAGUAUGGGAGGGGGAGAUGGAAUUAGUGGUGUAGGGGUAAAAUCCGUAGAUAUCACUAGGAAUACCUAAAGCGAAGGCGAUCUCCUGGAACAUAACUGACGCUAAGGCGUGAAAGCGUGGGGAGCAAACAGGAUUAGAUACCCCAGUAGUC
rnacentral:rRNA from 1 species